rnacentral:rRNA from 1 species
UUGAUCCUGGCUCAGGACGAACGCUGGCGGCGUGCUUAACACAUGCAAGUGGAGCGACGAACCGGGCUUCGGCCCGGGGCAAAGCCGCGAACGGGUGAGUAACACGUGGGUAACCCACCCCGAUGACCGGGACAACCCGAGGAAACUCGAGCUAAUACCGGAUGUUCUCGCUUCUCGUAAGGGAAACGAGCAAAGAUAGCUUCGGCCUUCGCAUCGGGACGGGCCCGCGGCCCAUUAGCUUGUUGGUGGGGUAACGGCCUACCAAGGCGACGAUGGGUAGCUGGUCUGAGAGGACGAUCAGCCACACUGGGACUGAGACACGGCCCAGACUCCUACGGGAGGCAGCAGUGGGGAAUCUUGCGCAAUGCGCGAAAGCGUGACGCAGCAACGCCGCGUGGGGGAAGAAGGCCUUCGGGUUGUAAACCCCUUUCAGUUGGGACGAAGCUUCGCCGGUUAAUAGCCGGCUGGAGUGACGGUACCUUCAGAAGAAGCCCCGGCUAACUACGUGCCAGCAGCCGCGGUAAUACGUAGGGGGCUAGCGUUGUCCGGAAUCAUUGGGCGUAAAGCGCGUGUAGGCGGUCCGGUAAGUCCGCUGUGAAAGUCGGGGGCUCAACCCUCGGAUGCCGGUGGAUACUGUCGGGCUUGAGUACGGAAGAGGCGAGUGGAAUUCCUGGUGUAGCGGUGAAAUGCGCAGAUAUCAGGAGGAACACCAAUUGCGAAGGCAGCUCGCUGGGACGUCACUGACGCUGAGACGCGAAAGCGUGGGGAGCAAACAGGAUUAGAUACCCUGGUAGUCCACGCUGUAAACGAUGGGCACUAGGUGUGGGGGGUGUCGACUCCCUCCGUGCCGAAGCUAACGCAUUAAGUGCCCCGCCUGGGGAGUACUGCCGCAAGGCUAAAACUCA